GCCGCAAGGCGGAUCCAUCCCUGGAGGAAGCUCGGGCUAAGUCGUGCCAGCAGCCGCGGUAAGACGAACCGAGCGAACGUUGUUCGGAAUCACUGGGCUUAAAGGGCGCGUAGGCGGGCUGCCGCGUCCGGGGUGAAAUCCCACGGCUCAACCGUGGAACGGCCCCGGGUACGGGCGGCCUCGAGGGGGAUAGGGGCGUGCGGAACUGUGGGUGGAGCGGUGAAAUGCGUUGAUAUCCACAGGAACUCCGGUGGCGAAGGCGGCACGCUGGAUCCUCUCUGACGCUGAGGCGCGAAAGCCAGGGGAGCGAACGGGAUUAGAUACCCCGGUAGUCCUGGCCCUAAACGAUGAGAACUGGGUAGUAGCCCUGGCAUGGGGUUACUGCCGCAGCCAAAGUGCUAAGUUCUCCGCCUGGGGAGUAUGGUCGCAAGGCUGAAAACUCAAAGGAAUUGACGGGGGCUCACACAAGCGGUGGAGCAUGUGGCUUAAUUCGAGAC
rnacentral:rRNA from 1 species